UGGGGAAUAUUGCACAAUGGGCGCAAGCCUGAUGCAGCGACGCCGCGUGGGGGAUGAAGGCCUUCGGGUUGUAAACCCCUUUCAGCAGGGAAGAAGCGAAAGUGACGGUACCUGCAGAAGAAGCGCCGGCUAACUACGUGCCAGCAGCCGCGGUAAUACGUAGGGCGCAAGCGUUGUCCGGAAUUAUUGGGCGUAAAGAGCUCGUAGGCGGCCAACUAAGUCUGGAGUGAAAGUCCUACUUUUAAGGUGGGAAUUGCUUUGGAAACUGGAUGGCUUGAGUGUAGGAGAGGUUAGUGGAAUUCCCGGUGUAGCGGUGAAAUGCGUAGAGAUCGGGAGGAACACCAGUGGCGAAGGCGACUAACUGGACUAUGACUGACGCUGAGGCGCGAAAGUGUGGGGAGCAAACAGG
rnacentral:rRNA from 1 species